GAUGAACGCUGGCGGCGUGCCUAAUACAUGCAAGUCGAGCGAACGGACGAGAAGCUUGCUUCUCUGAUGUUAGCGGCGGACGGGUGAGUAACACGUGGAUAACCUACCUAUAAGACUGGGAUAACUUCGGGAAACCGGAGCUAAUACCGGAUAAUAUUUUGAACCGCAUGGUUCAAAAGUGAAAGACGGUCUUGCUGUAACUUAUAGAUGAAUCCGCGCUGCAUUAGCUAGUUGGUAAGGUAACGGCCUACCAAGGCAACGAUGCAUAGACGACGUGAGAGGGUGGUCGGCCACACUGGAACUGGGACGCGGUCCAGACUCCUACGGGAGGCAGCAGUAGGGAAUCUGCCGCAAUGGGCGAAAGCCUGACGGAGCAACGCCGCGUGAGUGAUGAAGGUCUUCGGUUCGUAAAACCCUGUUAUUAGGGAAGAACAUAUGUGUAAGGAACUGAGCACAUCUUGACGGUACCUAAUCAGAAAGCCACGGCUAACUACGUG
rnacentral:rRNA from 1 species